rnacentral:rRNA from 1 species
AAAAGAACAAAGGGAAAGACAGAUAAAGAAGACGAAAGGCAUCAACAGAAUAUUCUGGCGACCAGAGUGCUGUGGCUCUACCUGACUCCAUUCCGAACUCAGAAGUAAAACG